rnacentral:rRNA from 1 species
GAUGAACGCUGGCGGCGUGCUUAACACAUGCAAGUCGAACGGGAAUUACUUUAUUGAAACUUCGGUCGAUUUAAUUUAAUUCUAGUGGCGGACGGGUGAGUAACGCGUGGGUAACCUGCCUUGUACAGGGGGAUAACAGUCAGAAAUGACUGCUAAUACCGCAUAAGCGCACAGGACCGCAUGGUCCGGUGUGAAAAACUCCGGUGGUAUAAGAUGGACCCGCGUUGGAUUAGCUUGUUGGUGGGGUAACGGCCCACCAAGGCGACGAUCCAUAGCCGGCCUGAGAGGGUGAACGGCCACAUUGGGACUGAGACACGGCCCAGACUCCUACGGGAGGCAGCAGUGGGGAAUAUUGCACAAUGGGGGAAACCCUGAUGCAGCGACGCCGCGUGAAGGAAGAAGUAUCUCGGUAUGUAAACUUCUAUCAGCAGGGAAGAAAAUGACGGUACCUGACUAAGAAGCCCCGGCUAACUACGUGCCAGCAGCCGCGGUAAUACGUAGGGGGCAAGCGUUAUCCGGAUUUACUGGGUGUAAAGGGAGCGUAGACGGAUGGACAAGGCUGAUGUGAAAGGCUGGGGCUCAACCCCGGGACUGCAUUGGAAACUGCCCGUCUUGAGUGCCGGAGAGGUAAGCGGAAUUCCUAGUGUAGCGGUGAAAUGCGUAGAUAUUAGGAGGAACACCAGUGGCGAAGGCGGCUUACUGGACGGUAACUGACGUUGA